rnacentral:rRNA from 1 species
CACAUGCAAGUCGAACGAUGAAACCUUAGCUUGCUAAGGUGGAUUAGUGGCGCACGGGUGAGUAAUAUAUAGAUAACGUGCCUCUUAGUCUGGGAUAGCCAUUGGAAACGAUGAUUAAUACCGGAUACUCCUUCUCAUUAUAAUUUGAGUUGGGAAAGUUUUUCGCUAAGAGAUCGGUCUAUAUCCCAUCAGCUUGUUGGUAGUGUAAGAGACUACCAAGGCAAUGACGGGUAGCGGGUUUGAGAGGAUGAUCCGCCACACUGGUACUGAGACACGGACCAGACUCCUACGGGAGGCAGCAGUGAGGAAUAUUGCACAAUGGAGGAAACUCUGAUGCAGCAACGCCGCGUGGAGGAUGACGCAUUUCGGUGUGUAAACUCCUUUUAUAGGUCAAGAAAAUGACGGUAGCCUAUGAAUAAGCACCGGCUAACUCCGUGCCAGCAGCCGCGGUAAUACGGAGGGUGCAAGCGUUAUUCGGAAUCACUGGGCGUAAAGGACACGUAGGCGGGAAGCCAAGUCUGAUGUGAAAUCCUAUGGCUUAACCAUAGAACUGCAUUGGAAACUGGUUACCUAGAGUAUGGGAGGGGGAGAUGGAAUUAGUGGUGUAGGGGUAAAAUCCGUAGAUAUCACUAGGAAUACCUAAAGCGAAGGCGAUCUCCUGGAACAUUACUGACGCUAAGGUGUGAAAGCGUGGGGAGCAAACGGGAUUAGAUACCCCGGUAGUCCACGCCCUAAACGAUGUUCACUAGUCGUCGGGAUGCUAGUCAUCUCGGUGAUGCACUUAACAGAUUAAGUGAACCGCCUGGGGAGUAC